AAAGUCGUAACAAGGUUUCCGUAGGUGAACCUGCGGAAGGAUCAUUACAAGGUUUUUUUAUAUGCUGAGGGGUCUUUCGGGGCCUGGUAGGCAAAUAAACCGAUCAUCCACCGUGUGCACGCAUCGAACCAUGCUUUGGCAGACUCUCCCUCGACCUCUCUCGCGAGGUUCCGGGGGGGCUGGGCGCUCGGGCCCGAGGUCUGCCAGGGUCUUUUCAGUUCAACCCUAGCCUGAUCGCUUGUCUGAACACAAAUAUUGUAACAUAACCAAAUACAACUUUCAACAACGGAUCUCUUGGCUCUC
rnacentral:misc_RNA from 1 species